rnacentral:sRNA from 1 species
GAAUUGUGGGCAGGUGUCCCCUUCCUCCCUCACCACUACAUGUACAUCUCUCCAGAAGCUGACUCAGCUUGGUAGAUAGCGGAAGAACAUUCUUGGUCAAGGGCAUAUGAGCAUAUGAGUAGCUGCACCCCCUGCUAGAACUUCCAAACAAGUUCUCAAGGUCUAUUUGUAGGAGAAUGUAGGGCAGUCAAGCUUCCAAGACCCCAGACACAUCUAAAUGGGGCACUGUAAGUGGCAAUCUGCCUUUCUUU